rnacentral:rRNA from 1 species
UUCCAGACUCCUACGGGAGGCAGCAGUGGGGAAUAUUGCACAAUGGGGGAAACCCUGAUGCAGCGACGCCGCGUGAGUGAAGAAGUAUUUCGGUAUGUAAAGCUCCAUCAGCAGGGAAGAAAAUGACGGUACCUGAGUAAGAAGCCCCGGCUAACUACGUGUCAGCAGCCGCGGUAAUACGUAGGGGGCAAGCGUUAUCCGGAUUUACUGGGUGUAAAGGGAGCGUAGACGGCGAUGCAAGUCUGAAGUGAAAGCCCGGGGCUCAACCCCGGGACUGCUUUGGAAACUGUAUGGCUGGAGUACUGGAGAGGCAAGCGGAAUUCCUAGUGUAGCGGUGAAAUGCGUAGAUAUUAGGAAGAACACCAGUGGCGAAGGCGGCUUGCUGGACAGUAACUGACGUUGAGGCUCGAAAGCGUGGGGAGCAAACAGGAUUAGAUACCCUCGUACU